AUGGAUGGUCUUCUCCAUUGGGACUUUGCUCCGGGCCUAGCCCUUGCAAAUCAGGUGAGGCACAGGUUUGGCACGACAGUCCAUUUUUCCCCUUCCCAAGGAUCUAGGGAAUUCUUUCUGGUGGUCACUUUCUCCUCAGCCUCCUUUCCUCUCUCGGUGGAAUCUGUUGGUAUUGCUUUGCAAUGUUGUCUUGGGGGUUUAAGUUCUGGAUUCCAUGUUACCAAGAUCAAGGAUUGUACCUUCCAUUUUUCUGUUGCAAGCAACAAAGUUAGACAUUUCAUAUAUGGUUUGAAAGACCGAGUUUGGCCAGACUUUGUUUGUCACUUCCAUCUUUUUAAUGGCCGAUAUGCUAGAGCUCCAAUCUCUACCUCCUCCUGGCAUGCGGAUCAAUAA
rnacentral:rRNA from 1 species